rnacentral:rRNA from 1 species
GACGAACGCUGGCGGCGUGCUUAACACAUGCAAGUCGAACGGAAAGGCCCUGCUUUUGUGGGGUGCUCGAGUGGCGAACGGGUGAGUAACACGUGAGUAACCUGCCCUUGACUUUGGGAUAACUUCAGGAAACUGGGGCUAAUACCGGAUAGGAGCCCCUGCUGCAUGGUGGGGGUUGGAAAGUUUCGGUGGUUGGGGAUGGACUCGCGGCUUAUCAGCUUGUUGGUGGGGUAGUGGCUUACCAAGGCUUUGACGGGUAGCCGGCCUGAGAGGGUGACCGGCCACAUUGGGACUGAGAUACGGCCCAGACUCCUACGGGAGGCAGCAGUGGGGAAUAUUGCACAAUGAGCGGAAGCCUGAUGCAGCAACGCCGCGUGCGGGAUGACGGCCUUCGGGUUGUAAACCGCUUUCGCCUGUGACGAAGCGUGAGUGACGGUAAUGGGUAAAGAAGCACCGGCUAACUACGUG